UACAGAGGUCUCAAGCGUUGUUCGGAUUCAUUGGGCGUAAAGGGUGCGUAGGCGGCGCGGUAAGUCGGGUGUGAAAUCUCGGGGCUUAACUCCGAAACUGCAUUCGAUACUGCCGUGCUUGAGGACUGGAGAGGAGACUGGAAUUUACGGUGUAGCGGUGAAAUGCGUAGAUAUCGUAAGGAAGACCAGUGGCGAAGGCGGGUCUCUGGACAGUUCCUGACGCUGAGACACGAAAGCCAGGGGAGCAAACGGG
rnacentral:rRNA from 1 species